AGCGAGUUCGUGUGCAACUCCCAGGACUCAGCCAGGAGCUCCUUCAGAAAUUCAGAGAAAAGAACAUUGACUUUGCUGCACACAAUGCUCAAGAGGACUCAGGUUCUCUGUUAUUCAACUUGAUUGGCAACCUUGCUUUCCCACUAAUCUUAAUUGGAGGCCUUUUCCUUCUCUCAAGGCGUUCAUCUGGAGGAAUGGGUGGCCCUGGUGGGCCUGGCUUCCCCCUUGCCUUUGGUCAAUCAAAAGCCAAGUUCCAAAUGGAGCCAAACACAGGUGUAACUUUUGAUGAUGUUGCUGGGGUAGAUGAAGCAAAACAAGAUUUCAUGGAAGUAGUGGAGUUUCUGAAAAAGCCCGAGAGAUUCACUGCAGUUGGAGCUCGCAUCCCUAAAGGUGUUCUUCUUGUUGGCCCGCCAGGAACUGGGAAGACUCUGCUAGCGAAGGC
rnacentral:lncRNA from 1 species